rnacentral:rRNA from 1 species
UACGAAGGGGGCUAGCGUUGUUCGGAAUUACUGGGCGUAAAGCGCACGUAGGCGGUGUUCCAUGUCAGAGGUGAAAGCCUGGGGCUCAACUCCAGAAUUGCCUUUGAAACGGUGACGCUUGAGUCCGAGAGAGGAUGGCGGAAUUCCUAGUGUAGAGGUGAAAUUCGUAGAUAUUAGGAAGAACACCGGUGGCGAAGGCGGCCAUCUGGCUCGGUACUGACGCUCAGGUUCGAAAGCGUGGGGAGCAAACAGG